UUGUGACUAGAUAGAAAAAUGAUAGAAGAGUUUAGUUUUUUUACAACACACCCAACAAGAAUCUGGGGUCAUUGUGAUGAGGGGCACAAAACUUGUGGUCUCCCUGUGAACAAAUGCCCUACCCAU
rnacentral:snoRNA from 1 species